CCCCCAAAUCCAGGCGUGGAUUUUGGCUACGAGGGCCAGGAGCUGCUGUUCCGCAACCUGGAUUUUGGGAUCGACAUGGAAUCCCGAGUUUGCAUCGUGGGCCCCAACGGGGUGGGGAAGAGCACCCUGCUGCAGCUGCUGACCGGGGCCCUGACACCGCUCCGGGGGCAGAUGAGGCGGAACCAUCGCCUGGUAAAGGGGG